UUUAAUAGAAAGGUUUACAUGAAUUGCUUCCCUGAGGUUAGCCCAAAAGAGGGCAUGUUUGCCUUUUUCCUUUGGCCAUUCAAGGAUCUGCACAUUUAUAGGACUCUGGCCAUCCAACAAGCCUUUUUGGAAACAUGACUCCCAUCUUAACAAACUCUCUCAGGUCACAGUUGCACUGAAACGGAUUUUGUCCAGCACUUAGAUAUUGAACAUAUUCACAGUUCUGGAGGAAUUCUUUUGGUGUAAAAUCCAGCAGAGUACAGACAGAUGGACAGCUUGAGAAACAUUUAUGCAGCUUCCUCUGGAUGAUCAAGGCUUUAUUACUUUCAAACUGAGUUAGUAUGUAAAUGAUAAUUGCGAAGAGGAAAUACAAGUUGUAUUCAGCAGCAUGGACUCUCAUAAUGGUGAUUAACUGCUUGCAUUGGAACCUGUAAAUGAGAUUUAAAUCAAUGCAUGAUUUUACUACUUGUUAUUAAUCAACCUUCUUAUUUCUUAUAAUUAAUUUACUAAUUAUAAUACUUUAACUACAAAUAUGUUCUUGCAGAAAAAUGAUAAUGUACAGUAUUAUUCAUGCCUCUGUUGCCACCCUAGUUUUUUUAAGCUCUGUUAAUGUUUAGAAGUAUAUGCAAAGCUAUACAUAUAUACAUAGGAAGAGCCACUGCACAACAAUGACAUAUUGGAAAGUAGCCAUAGAAUGCCCAUCUGUAUCACACCAAUGUCUGUUGCACUCUGUGUUGACCUGUGCUUACUCUAAUAUGCUCACAAUUUCAUAUCCUUACUGGCACCUUUAUACCUGACCAAAAAAUGUAUAUUUCUAAAUAUUUUAUUAGUGUUCAGGAUGCAAAAUCUAGGGAAUGGCCCUUUUAGUUUUGGUUUUAAUUUGUCAGAAUGUAUUUUCAAAGCCACUACAACCCCAAAAUACUAACCUCACUGCCUAAGGUGCCUUAGAUGUUGGAUCCCUGAAACCAAGCUACCUAAAGUGUUCAGGUCGGGCUGCUGUAGCAAAGUAACAUUUCAGAGCCUCCCGCUCCUUUAUCUAACAACAAAAAGUUGAGAGACAAAGCCACACUUCUUAAAAUCCUAAAUCCACCUCCAAACUUACCCCCUAAUUAGACACAAUAUGUUCACCUUUAUUUAACCCUAUCCUUCUGCACACACUCCAGUGUUUGGCUAACACAAUAUAUGUGUUAAACCUACACACCUCUCAUCUCCAACCCCAUUAUACACACCAUCAGUACAAUUAUAUAACCUCACAAAUUAUAUAUCCCUACAAUUCCUAUCAUAAAAAAAAAGUUAUACAAACACAAACAUGGAACUGGUCAUUUAAGAUUAUUAUUACAAAUAGUGGAUUUAUAUUGACUUAUCCUGUACGAUCUAUCUGAAUAUGGAUGCGUAACAUAAGAAGUUGUAACAACAAGGAAACAUUCCUUUACGUACCAGUGCUAGAGUUAACUGUUGUAGAAUCCUUACAGUUCCCUCAUCUCACCUAUAAAACACGGGGGAUUCUUAAAUUCCUCAAUUAGUGAAUAAGAUCUUCCUAAUAUUCCCCAAUGUUUUUUAAUGACAUGUUGUAAUCUUACGCAUUACAGGAUUAAAUGUAUGCACAAACAGGAUAUGUUUAGAAUUAAAGCCUGGAACCAGUCAAUAAAGAUGUUCGAUCUGUCUGCCUUACUAUUUAUAUUAUUCACUCUAAAGUAGCUCUGAUGGAUACCCUCACUAUAUAACCUUUGGGUCAUCUCAUUCAAUCUCAAUUUCAAUGUUUCUUCCUCAGUUACUUAUAGAAAGAGUACAUGUUUGAGGAUGUGCAGAAUUUUACAUCAAUAGAUUAUUGCGAUCAGUCCCUUUUACACACAAACCAGUAAAAAUUUUCUCAUCUUUUACAAAGGCUGUAUUUAGUUUUUGCCCCUUUGCUUCUUUAAUCUCUGGCUAACUUUCCUUGCAGUCUGGCCCUCCUAGAUUACAACACAUGGGCCAUAUAUACUGUGCCGCUAAAAGAACCAAUGUACCAACCACCACUAUGAAAAAAAAGAAUUAUGUAAUUAUAAAACAAUAUAAGCACCAUUCUAAAAUAUGGUAUUAAUGGAAGACUCAAGCCUGAAAUUUUUACACAGUUUGCAUAGUGCCACAGUAGGGUGCUUGUUAAAAUUUGUUUUUAUCCAAUAAUAAGUGCUAAAAUUUUUGAAAUGUUACAUGGGGCUAGCCAUGUUCUUCAUUUCCCAGGGUGCUACAGCCAUGUGACCUGUGUUCUGAUAAACUUUAGUCACACUUUACUGCUAUGCUGCAAGUUGUAAUUUCACGCCCCCCCUUACCAGCUAGUGUAAUGUAAACAGAACCUUGUCUGGGCAGCCUGCCAAUUGAACAAUAGGUAUCAAUUUAAAAAACUUUCAAUGACAUCUCUUCAUAAGGAUGCCUAGACUGAGAGGUUUGCCUUGUCUGCCUGCUGUUACCAGUGUUUUGCUCCACGCGCUUAGACUUUUUGAAUUGGCUAUGAGGCACUGAAACACUGGGGCUCAUUUAUCAACCCAUCACAGCACAAACCAUCGCUUUCAUGAUUAUGUGCCAUAUUGUGCGCACACGCAAUUGCAUUUGCCUUACAUUGUGUGAGUUGAUUAAUUUUUAUGCCAGUUCAAUUGUCGCACUGUGCGAUAUAACAAAUGCAACCAAAUUGAUGUAGCUGUAAUCAUCUAUGAACAUAAUUUAUGACGUUUUGUGACGUCAUAUGCACGUUUGUAUGGGGCAGCUGUUGGCCUCAAAACUAGAGCAUGAAACUUUAAGCGACCACGUUUGCGCUAUACUGUUAAAUAUGCUUAUGCGCAGGGCAAAAGUUUUGCCUCUCCGACUAUUACAGCGAUACAUUGAUAUAUAAGCCCCACUGUGUUUUGAUUGUGUUGUAGUAACAUGCAAUAUGGCGGGCACUGUCAAUGCAAGGAGCUGUGUGGGGGUGAGAUAGCAAAGGGAACACCAUUAUAAACUCUUUUCCCCUAUCUUGCAACAAGUGGCACCGGGGAGUGAAACUUCCUCGCUCCCAACUCAAUAACUGCAAAGCUGGCUGACAGAAGACUUACACAAUGGCAGGAGCUUUGGCUGCUGUGCAAGGAGGGAGUGCUGCUCAGAGGACACUGGCGAAACAGGAGAGCAGGAAGGAAUAAGAGAGAAACUGAAAGCAGUGUCUUUUCUGUACACCAUGUGACCUCUCUCCUGCUGAUGGUGUUGUAAUAGAGAACUGAGUUAUCAGAUUACCUCCAAGCGCACACGUAAUGCUGUGCUUUUAGUGCAGCACAGUAUGAGCCAAAAUAAAUACAAAUAUAACUUAUGUAUUGAUUGUGAAUUAAGGUUUUACUGUAUAUGCCAGAAAGUGUUGCAGUGUAUACAAAAAGCAAAAAAUCUGAAUCCCUUUAGUAGGGUGGGCUGAUUGAAGUUAUUGGUUUGUUUAUGUGGUCUUCUUGUAAGAGCGCUUUGUAUUUGUAGGUCAUCGACCUAACAUUGAAAAUUAAAUUCUCCUUGUACAGUC